GCUGAGGCUGACUUUGAACUCGAGAUCCUCCUGCCUCAGCAUCCUGAGCCGUUGGGAUUACAGUUAUGCACCGCUGUGCCGGGCCUAAAAUUGUUACUUUUUAUUUUGAGACAGGGAGCUUGUGAAGAUUUAUGAUUUCUUUUGGGGUUGUUUUUUUGUACUGGGGCUUGAACCCAGGGAUGGUCUACACCCUAGUCCUGUUCAUUUAUUAUUUCAAGAUAGAUAUGUUGCUGAGGCUGGCCUCGAACUUGUGAUCUUCCUGUCUCAGCCUCCCGAGUUGCUGGGAUUACAGGUGUAGAACAGGGCUCCCAGCUAGAAACCAGAAAUUAUUCCUCCUAACUGUAACUUUGUACUCAUUGACCUCACACCCUGCUUCCUGACCACUCCUGAGCCUCUAUAACCAUUAUUCUAAUCUCUACUUUUUAUGAGAUUGGCUUUUUUAGAUUUUUUAGAUCAUGCAGUAUUUAUCUUUCUGUGUGUGAUGUAUUUCACAUCACAUAUGCCUUUCAUGUUAUCCUCAAUGACAGAAUUUCAUUUACAGUAAUGCUAUUCCAAAUACUGAGUGGUAAGUACUCCAUGGUGUACAUGUGCCACAUUUUAUUUAUCCAUUCUUUCACUGAUGGGCAAUCGGAAUUCCAACAGCUCCAAAAACAAAUAAUCCAACUAAAAAACGGGCAAAAUGGGCUGGGGUUGUGGUUCAGUGGUGGAGUGCUUGCCUAGCAUGUGUGAGGCCCUGAGUUUGAUUCUCAGCACCACAUAUAAAUAAAAUAAAAGUCCAUCGACAACUAAAAAAAUGUUUUUAAAAAUGGGCAAAAUACCUGAAUAGACAUUUCUCAACAGGUAUAUGAAAAAAUAUUCAUACCACUAAUCACCAGGGGAAAUGCAAAUCAAAACCACCAAGAGAUAUCAUCUCGCUCCAGUUAACAAGGCUAUUGCCUCAUUCUGUGGCACAUGCCCAUAAUCCCAGCUACUCGGGAGGCUCAAGCAAGAGGAUCACAAGUUCAAGGCUGGUCUUGACAAAUUAAUGAACCCUCAUCUCAAAGUAAAAAUUUAAAAAGGGCUGGAGAUGUAGUUCCAUGGUAGAGUGCUUGCCUAGCAUGCACAAGGCCCCAUACCACAAAAAUAAAUAAAAUAGCUACUAUCAAGAAAGACAAAAAAUAAAUGCUAAGGAGGAUGAGGAGAAAAGGGAACUCUCAUACACUUGUUGGUGGGAAUGUAAGUUAGUACAGCCAUAUGGAAAACAGUAUGGAGGUUCGUCAGAAAGUUAAAAAUAGAUCUACAAUAUGCCCAGCAACUUCAUAAUUAGGUAUAUUCCCAAAGGAAAUAAGUAUUUCAAAGAGACACCUACACUCCCAUGUCUACUGAAGCACUAGUGACAACAGCCAAGAUAACAAAUCAACCAGGACCCUUCUCAAAGGCGCUGCUGUCCAGGUAUCAUUCCUGCAUCCACAAGCCCUCCCUCUUAAGAUAGCCCUGCCCCUCCUGUGCCCACCCUGCCUGACUAGCCUUUUGCCCAAACAUUAUAGAUUCUCCAGCUUCAUCAAACUCCUGUUCCUCCCUGAAUAAGUCCUGUGCUCUUUCGAGGAGUGAGAAGAGCGUUUAUAGUUUAAAAUAUUGAAAAUAUUUAUUUUGUUCAGAGAUCAAACUAGUAAUUUUUCCUCUUUUACAAAAGUUAAUUAUGCAGGUGCUUCUUUUUAAAAAAAUAUUUUUUUGUAGUUGUACACAAUAACUUUAUUUUAUUUAUUUAUUUUUAUGUAGUGCUGAGAAUCGAACCCAGGACCUUGCACGUGCGAGGCGAGCGCUCUACCACUGAGCCAUCACCCCAGCCCCUCUAGGUUCCUAAAUAACAAAAUUUUCCUCUCUCUU
rnacentral:lncRNA from 1 species